UACUCGAUAUUUAAUAUUUAAGUAUUUUAAAUGUGUUGCUUUUGUAUUCUAUGUAUGAUAUACGUUAUUCUUAUAAUACUUUAUAAUAACUAGCUGUAUAACCCGAUCCGCCUGCCAAAAAAUAUAACAAGUAUAAAAUACGAUGGUUUAUAAAAUAUGUACUUGGUUUUAGUGUACACUGGUUUACAAGCAAAUCAGCGUUGGUGUACCUCACUUUGUGAACUAAUUCAACUGAAAUGGUCAAUCCGGCUGUGGCGAUUUGGAUAUAGUACUUGAGUCGCCGGAGAUUAGACCACCCGUUGAUUGACGACCGGUAACAAGCAGCCGUAGAACAAUCCAUUCGAAGAAUAUUGACAUAUUGUUGUCGUUUGGAGACGACAAGAGUCGCUUGGCACAACAUCCUAGCUAGAAUUUAUGCAAUGUGACAGACGUGAUGAUUAGACAAUACAGCAGGUGCACGUCACACGGCAAAAAUCUCAAUAUCCAACUCAAAACAAAACUGCGUAGAGGUAUAACUUUACGCAAGGUGUUAAAUGGUUAUCAACCAAGUAACCAACCAACAAUGUCUACUUAGCUACUUGUAAUAUUCACAACUCCACUUAUCUAAAUUUCAAAUGUUUAAUAAAUAACUAUAAAUUAUUAGUUCAAUAUUUGAUUUUUAUUGUAUUUUAUGUGUUUUUAA